UCAUGAACAUAGUCUAAUGUUCUUUGCAAAUUACGAUGUAGCUUGCGCUGUAGCUCUACUGUUUUUAUAUGUUCCUAGAGAAAAUUUAGUUGAAAGUUGAUAGUAGCAAACUUUGCAGACUGAGUCUGUAAAACCGAGGAUUGUCCUCGUUGCUGCGCAGAAGGCUUAUGUCCUUAAUGCAACACUCGGUGUGCUGCACCUCGAGCGUCGUCUGUGGAUGCUGUGAACAUCCGACAUACACGUUUCUGAUGACUACAUGAUAGUUCAGUGCAAAAUACUUAAAUGGCUUAGAAGCAAGGCGUCGAAGACGUUUUAAAACGUCACGGAACAUAAGUGAUGUUCUAAAGAGAUGAAAUUGUGAUUUCAUGCUUGUGCCCUUGUUAAUAGGUACGAGACCUCCAACAAGAUUCUUUGUCCACAAAGUGAAGGAGAAAAGCUCAAUCGUUGAGCAUGUGCUCAGAUUGUCUGAGUACGACAAUCACUUGAAUCAAGUGGGAGUUGAUCUUCCAGAU
rnacentral:lncRNA from 1 species